GGGWGAAGUCGUAACAAGGUAGCCGUAGGGGAACCUGCGGCUGGAUCACCUCCUUUCUAAGGAUUGCGAGACGGCACCUCGGUGUCGUCUCCAUCCAGGUCAAUUCACGCCGCUACUAUCUGGUUUUGAGGGACCGGGAAGCUGGUGAGUCGGGCUCAAUGCCGGCCCCGAUGGUGACGCGAUCGCGGGCCCAUAGCUCAGCUGGCUAGAGCGUACCCCUGAUAAGGGUAAGGUCGGUAGUUCGACUCUACCUGGGCCCAUCAUCCCCAUCGGGCGGAUGAGCGUGCGGGGCUGUAGCUCANCUGGGAGAGCGCCUGCUUUGCAAGAAACUUUUGACACAUCAUACUGCUCGGUAAUUGGUAGAUGACACUUCAUCUAAAAACCAAUUCAAUGAUUCUCGUAUGCCGCCUACGGAACCGUGCUCUUCCGCUACUUCCUGCACACGAUU
rnacentral:misc_RNA from 1 species